AACGAACGCUGGCGGCAUGCCUAACACAUGCAAGUCGAACGAGACCUUCGGGUCUAGUGGCGCACGGGUGCGUAACGCGUGGGAACCUGCCCUUAGGUUCGGAAUAACUCCCCGAAAGGGGUGCUAAUACCGGAUAAUGUCUUCGGACCAAAGAUUUAUCGCCUUUGGAUGGGCCCGCGUUGGAUUAGCUAGUUGGUAGGGUAAAAGCCUACCACGGCGACGAUCCAUAGCUGGUCUGAGAGGAAGAUCAGCCACACUGGGACUGAGACACGGCCCAGAAUCCUACGGGAGGCAGGAGUGGGGGAUAUUGGAAAAUGGGCGAAAGGCUGAUCGAGCAAUGGCGCGUGAGUGAUGAAGGCCUUAGAGUUGUAAAGCUCUUUUACCCGGGAUGAUAAUGACAGUACCGGGAGAAUAAGCACCGGCUAACUCCGUG
rnacentral:rRNA from 1 species